AUUUAUCUGGAAAGCGUUGGAAACUUUUCCCUCGAGAAGGCUCAAUUUGGCCGUGUCUUGUUAUCUCCGCUACCAAACUAUCCGGUGAUGAGAACCAUUGAUCUCUAUCGACUUUUCUUCAGAAACUCAAAACUAUUUAACACCGGUUAAAUGAUUUAUGGGGACACCACUUAUGUUCCGCCAUUUGUAGUGACGAGCCCGAUAUGGUUAACAACCGAAGAGUUCUGCAAAGAUUAGAGGGAAAGUUCUUUCCUUGUACCCCCAAUUACUAAAGAGCAUUAACUCACCCAUUCUCCAACGUAGUUGUAGUUACGCUUCGGGUAAAGGUACACAAUGCGAGCUCAUCACUCAGAAAGUGGAUGUCCAGUGGUGAAAGGAAACAAAUAGCCACCCACAAAGUAGUUCCAUGUUCUCGAGUUCAAGGUCUAGGAUAAGAAAGAGCCUGAAGAGAAAGAAGGAAAGUCAAGAAAAAGAAAUAUUGACAGAAGAAAAAAAUAUAUAAGAAAUUGAGUAUGUUUUAUUGUUUUGAACUUUUCUUCGAGGUAGUUGAAACAUGAAUGUUUAAAACUUGCAUCUGUUGUAAAAGACAAGGUAGAAUAACUAAUUUUAUUAUGUUAAUUAUGUCCAAUUUUUUUAUUAA